GGGCACGGAUAAAGGCAGUUUUGAUGAUGUUACUUCUUUUAUUUUAAGAAGACAUCAGAUAAAUCUGUGCUUAUCCUUGCUU
rnacentral:pre_miRNA from 1 species